rnacentral:rRNA from 1 species
UACGUAGGGUGCAAGCGUUUGUCCGGAAUUAUUGGGCGUAAAGAGCUCGUAGGCGGUUUGUCGCGUCUGCUGUGAAAACCCGAGGCUCAACCUCGGGCCUGCAGUGGGUACGGGCAGACUAGAGUGCGGUAGGGGAGAUUGGAAUUCCUGGUGUAGCGGUGGAAUGCGCAGAUAUCAGGAGGAACACCAAUGGCGAAGGCAGAUCUCUGGGCCGUAACUGACGCUGAGGAGCGAAAGCGUGGGGAGCAAACAGG